GCCGAAGUGGCGGAAUUGGUAGACGCGCUGGACUCAAAAUCCAGUUCGACUCAAAUCGAGUGGGGGUUCGAGUCCCCCCUUCGGCACAA
rnacentral:tRNA from 1 species